GAUGAAGAACGUAGCGAAAUGCGAUAAGUAAUGUGAAUUGCAGAAUUCAGUGAAUCAUCGAAUCUUUGAACGCACCUUGCACCCUUUGGCAUUCCGAAGGGUAUGCUCGUUUGAAUGUCAUUGUACUCUCACACUCCCACUCUUUUGGAUUGGGAGCGGUGGACUUGGGUGUUGCUGCUUCACUGUGGCUCGCCUCAAAUGGAGUAGUGCAACUCUCGGUUGGACAUAGUACGGCGUGAUAAGUGUCUUCGCCGGCGCCUCACUAGAGGGUGGCCGAUCGGGAGCUCUGUGCUUCAAACCGUCUUCGGACAAUCUCUGACAACUUGACCUCAAAUCGAGUAGGACUACCCGCUGAACUUAAGCAUAUCAAUAAGCGGAGGA
rnacentral:misc_RNA from 1 species